rnacentral:lncRNA from 1 species
UGGUUCUUCACUCCAUGUGCUCUGCCUUCCCCGUGACGUCAACUCGGCCGAUGGGCUGCAGCCAAUCAGGGAGUGACACGUCCGAGGCGAAGGAUAAUUCUCCUAAAAAAGGGACGGGGUUUCGUUUUCUCUCUCUCUUGCUUCUUACGCUCUUGCUUCUUGCACUCUGGCUCCUGAAGAUGUAAGCAAUAAAGCUUUGCCGCAGAAGAUUCUGGUCUGUGGUGUUCUUCCUGGCCGGUCGUGAGAACGCGUCUAAUAACAGCCCAACAACUCCAUUGUUCUUGACUUCUUCGGGCUCUAGCCAGACUCUCCAAAGACAGGGUUGCAUUCCCUUUCCAGUAUGGUCCAUGGAAAACAUGCAGAGGAAAUGGCCCCACAGCAUUGGCUGAGUGUUUAUGUCGUCCAACCGAGUCUCCAUCGAACUGUUGUGGUGUUGCUGACUUGCCCUAGGUCACCUGAGUUAAAAGGGUUGCAUUCCCUUUCCAGUAUGGUCCAUGGAAAACAUGCAGAGGAAAUGGCCCCACAGCAUUGGCUGAGUGUUUAUGUCUUCCAACCGAGUCUCCAUUGAACUGUUGUGGUGUUGCUGACUUGCCCUAGGUCACCUGAGUUAAAUGGGUUGCAUUCCCUUUCCAGUAUGGUCCAUGGAAAACAUGCAGAGGAAAUGGCCCCACAGCAUUGGCUGAGUGUUUAUAUCUUCCAACCGAGUCUCCAUCGAACUGUUGUGGUGUUGCUGACUUGGCCUAGGUCACCUGAGUUAAAAGGGUUGCAUUCCCUUUCCAGUAUGGUCCAUGGAAAACAUGCAGAGGAAAUGGCCCCACAGCAUUGGCUGAGUGUUUAUGUCAUCCAACCGAGUCUCCAUCGAACUGUUGUGGUGUUGCUGACUUGCCCUAGGUCACUUGAGUUAAAUGAGAUGCAUUCCUUUUCCUUCAUGGGCCAUGAGUGACAUCCAGAGAAAGUGUCACCACAACACUGGACAAAAGUUGAUGAUAUCUGAAUGAGCUACCAGUAAACCCCCCCCUUUUUUUGCUGUUAUUGCCUUGCCUGAGGAAAAGCGAGUUAAAAGAUGAUACCUACAGUGAUGAGUUGGAGUUAUAGAUGGUGCCAUUUCUUCUACCAGCAGCUUCACCAAAACAAUCUCCAUUAUACAUGCUGAUGCCUCUUUCCUGUGUAGCAGCAGACACCACCUGCAGAUAAGAAAUGCUUAAGUGAGAAAUGCUCAUUUUGGGAUAUCAUCGCUGAAACUAUAAUUUGGGCAUGGUGACUGUUUCCCUUGCUGCCACUUGACUCAAUCUCAGAAGUUUAAUAGAUCAAAUAAUAUUGUACAAUAUGCUCAAAAUGGUGGAAGUAAUUAGUGCUCCUAUAAAUAUAUAUUGACAAUUUAAAUAUAACAUAUUAAAAAUAAAAUGCAUGAUUAAACAAACCUGAAUGCAUACUUAUAUAAUUAAUACAUAAAAUAUGUGCUGCCUCUUUUUUGAAGGCUAUCCCCAUAGUUUCUCUCUGUUAAGAGAAGGAUAUACAUGCUUUUAAGCAAUAAAUAUACAAGCAGAUACACAUACUGUCUGGUGGGGGCACUUCUAGUAGUAAUGCCAUAUUAUUAUGCAAAUUGCUACUUUUGUUUGAGUCUUUUUGAUGAGCUUUUGCUACUAUGUCAUUUAUUGAAUGACUAUAUGACUGUUUUGUAGAUGAAAUAGAAUUAAAUAUUUUAAAUAUUGCUUAUACAUGCAUUUAUAUAGGUGCUAAUUUUCUGUGCAAUAGACUUCCGUAUAUAUUAACAUUUAUGCAUUCAUCUCCUCUAUUAAAGUAAAUUUACCUAGAACACAAAUUAUUGAAAUUAAGUAUAUUGACACUUAAUAUUUUUAUAAUUGUUAUGAUUCCUUUAAGAAUGUGCUUGAAGAGCUUUCUUGUAAGAAUCAAUGAAUUAGAUUGCCCAAUUUUUCAAAAUACAAUUAUGGUAGAUUUUACAAAUGAUUGAGAUCCUUUCCAGUGUGUUAGCCCAAAUUGUUGCUCUGACUUGUAUUUAUUUUAUUUUUGAGUUUGAUCAUUUUCAUGUUUAAUAGCCAUCUGUAUUAUUUUAAUUUCCUAUUUAUCUCAAAACUUGGGAGUAUUUAGUCUCUUUAAUGAUCUUAUAGUAUUUGGGAAAGAUAAGAUUUUGGAUUGUCAAACAUUACAUGUUUGUCACACUUUUAAACUUUGUUUUGUUAUCAGAAUGCGUAUUAUUCUUACAUGUCCAAAUAUAACCAUGUUUGCUUUUAUGGCUUCUGAGUUUCAUGUCAUUUAAAAAAAUAUUCUGAACCCAUAAAGCUUUUCACCUAUGUUAAUUCUAAUUAUUUUGUGUUUUUUAAAGUCAAAUUCUUAUGUCAUGAAAAAAAUUUUAUUUUGAAAUCUUACAGUUGCGAAGUUAUUUGCCAUUACUUAUAAUUAUUUGCCAAUAAUUGCCCACUUAUCUGUAAUGCCAUCUUGCAUAUGUGCUGUAUUCUCAUCCAUGAAUGGCUCCAUUUUUGUUUUGUGGAUAUGUGUGUCUCUUCUCCCUUCUGUCUCAUGUGUCUUCUUGUUGGAAGAAGUUACAGUAUAGACUGUAAUUUCAUCAAUCUUAAUAAAUUAAUCUGGGAAAAACUUGUUUUAAAUGAUACUGUCUUCAUAAAUAA